GGUGCCUCUGGGUGAAGGUGCUCUGCAUGCUGGAGCUGAGGCGGUUGACGGGCUCCUUGAGGUCGGAGCGGCUCUGCUGGCUGAGCUUCUCCUCCAUCUCCAGCGUGCAGCAGGAGUAGCCCUGGGGACACACCUUCAGAUGAGCACCUGCAAGAGCCAGAGAGGGGCACACUCAGUCUCCAGUCGACACCACACAAAAGAGCACAGAAACAAGACAGGAAGCGCCACGCUAACAUCGACACGCGGAGGAUUACACCACUCCUGUGGAAUGUGCGCUUAUUGGGGAAUGUGGCAUUUCAAACUU